UUUAAAUCUACAUAAUAUAUAUAUACACACACCAUUGAACUUGAUGGGAUACACGAAACUAAUUUCAACGAUCCAACCAUUAAACUUGUUUGUAUAUGCUUCGAGAUCGCAUCAGCAAAAAAUCGCAAAAAACAAACAUUCAGAGAUCAAGUAACGGGACAAAACUUUUCGACGGUUAUAAAACAAAAAAUCACAAUUUAACGGUUAUUUUGACUCCGAUUUUGAUGAUUUUUUACAGCAACACUCGUUGACCCUAUAUGAAUACAAUGAAUGAAUUCGAUUUUCAAUUUAAAAUAUUUACACUAAUGGAUACCACAAAAUCUUAUGUUAUACUUAAUGAAAGUAUAAAUAAACUCUAAGUGUUAGUGAAUUUAUCGUUUUGAUGAGAUACGAAUUCUAUGAAACUAAUUGCAACGAUCCAAUCGUCAAACUUGUUUGUAUAUGCUUCGAGACCGCAUACGCCAAAAAUCACAAACAAAAAAACUUUUAGAGAUCAAGUAAUGAGACAAAACAUUUCGACGGUUAUAAAACAAAAAAUCACGAUUUAACGGUUAUUUUAACUCUGAUUUUGAUGAUUUUUUACAACUACACUCCUUGACCCUAUACGAAUACAAUGAAUGAAUUUGAUCGUCAAUUUAAAAUAUUUACAAAAGUGGAUACCACAAAAUCUUAUGUUAUACUUAAUGAAAGUAUAAAUAAACUUAAGUGUUAGUGAAUCUAUCGUUUUGAUGAGAUACGAAUUCUAUGAAACUAAUUUUAACAAUCGAACCGUCAAACUUGUUUGUAUAUGCUUCGAGAUUGCAUAUGCCAAAAAUCACAAAAACCAAACAUUCAGAGAUCAAGUAAUGAGACAAAACUUUUUGAUGGUUAUAAAACAAAAAAUCACGAUUUAACGGUUAUUUUAACUCCGAUUUUGAUGAGUUUUUACAACUACACUCCUUAACCCUAUACGAAUACCAAUGAAUGAAUUUGAUCGUCAAUUUAAAAUAUUUACACAAAUGGAUACCACAAAAUCUUAUAUUAUACUUAAUGAAAGUACAAAUAAACUCUAAGUAUUAGUGAAUCUAUCGUUUUGAUGGAAUAUGAAUUCUAUGAAACUAAUUUUAACGAUCCAACCGUCAAACUUGUUUGUAUAUGCUUUGAGAUCGCAUACGCCAAAAAUCACAAAAAACAAACAUUCAGAGAUCAAGAAAUGAGACAAAACUUUUCGACGGUUAUAAAACAAAAAAUCACGAUUUAACGGUUAUUUUAACUCCGAUUUUGAUGAUUUUUUACAACUACACUCCUUGACCUUAUACGAAUACAAUAAAUGAAUUUGUUCAUCAAUUUAAAAUAUUUAAACAAGUGGAUUCCACAAAAUUUUAUGUUAUACUUGAUGAAAGUAUAAAUAAACUCUAAGUGUUAGUGAAUCUAUCGUUUUGAUGGGAUACGAAUUCUAUGAAACUAAUUUUAACGAUCCAACCGUCAAACUUGUUUGUAUAUGCUUCGAGAUCGCAUAUGCCAAAAAUCACAAAAAACAAACAUUCAAAGAUCAAGUAAUGAGACAAAAGUUUUUGACGGUUAUAAAACAAAAAAUCACGAUUUAACAGUUGUUUUAACUCCGAUUUUGAUGUUUUUUUACAACUACACUCCUUGAACCUAUACGAAUAUAAUGAAUGAAUUUGAUCGUCAAUUUAAAAUAUUUACACAAGUGGAUACCACAAAAUCUUAUGUGAUACUUAAUGAAAGUAUAAAUAAACUCUAAGUGUUAGUGAAUCUAUCGUUUCUAUGAAACUAAUUUUAACGAUCCAACCGUCAAACUUGUUUGUAUAUGCUUCGAGAUCGCAUAUCCCAAAAAUCACAAAAAACAAACAUUCAGAGAUCAAGUAUUGAGACAAAAAAUUUCGACGGUUAUAAAACAAAAAAUCACGAUUUAACGGUUAUUUUAACUCCGAUUUUGAUGAUUUUUUACAAAUACACUCCUUGACCCUAUACGAAUACAAUGAAUGAAUUUGAUCGUCAAUUUAAAAUAUUUACACAAGUGGAUACCACAAAAUCUUAUGUUAUACUUAAUGAAAGUAUAAAUAAACUCUAAACCCUAAGUGUUAGUGAAUCUAUCGUUUUGAUGGGAUAUGAAUUCUAUGAAACUAAUUUUAACGAGCCAACCGUCAAACUUGUUUGUAUAUGCUUCGAGAUCGCAUAUGCCAAAAAUCACAAAAAACAAACAUUCAGAGAUCAAGUAAUGAGACAAAACUUUUCGACGGUUAUGAAACAAAAAAUCACGAUUUAACCGUUAUUUAAACUCUGAUUUUGAUGAUUUUUUUACAACUACACUCCUUGACCCUAUACAAAUACAAUGAAUGAAUUUGAUCAUCAAUUUAAAAUAUUUACACAAGUAGAUACCACAAAAUCUUAUGUUAUACUUAAUGAAAGUAUAAAUAAACUCUAAGUGUUAGUGAAUAUAUCGUUUUGAUGGGAUACGAAUUCUAUGAAACUAAUUUUAACGGUCCAACCGUCAAACUUGUUUUUUAUUAGGCGCUUAUUUUCGAGUGUAGAUGUAGUACUUAAAUGACAAAUAUGUUUUAAUGUUUUAAAGUAAUUUUUAUGUGGUAAUGUGUGGUAUGUGCAAAUUUAAGAAAAAAAAAUAUUUUUCUUAACGGGUCAUAACAGGUCAUAACAGGUCAUAACGGGUCGGGUCACUUUACUCAUUGGGUAAAGUGACCCGACCUGUUAAGGACCCGUUAAGAUAAUAGGUGUGACACGACACGACCCGUUAAGAUAACAGGGUUACACGAAAACGACACGAACACAACAGACACGACCUGUUUGCCAGGCCUAACUGAAGUACACAGAUCUUCGUUUUAUGGCAGCAAAACUAACUUGGAGUUAUGUUGGAGAUUGCUUGUUUAAGCUUUAUUUAUGAGUUUCCUACCAUUCUAGUAGCUUCCAUAGUUGUUUGAAUAGGUCGCCUUUUGGUAUGAUGGUUGUUUAUACAAUACCGUAUUUAGAUCUCGUAUAAAUACUCGGGGGAUUCAAAUGUAAUUAUGUAACAAAUGAAUGGGCAAAUAUGUAAUAAGUGCGGAACCCUUAUUCUAUAAAAGGACUCCUCACUCUCCUCAUUAGAGGAGGUCAAGUUUUAGGCCAUGGGAAGAGAGCACUGAAAAUAGGCUAGAGAGCACACUGCCUCUAGCCUUCUUGUGUAUUCACCAUUCAGAGUGAAACAAUAUCAACAUCAGUGUGGACAUAGCCCAACCAUUGGGGUGAACCACGAUACAUCUUGUGUUCUUUACUUUCUUGCAGAUUCACGGUUGGAUUUACGUUGUUCCAAGACCCCUCCGGUUUUGUGCAUCAACAUUUGGCACCGUAUGUGGGAAUCGACAUGAAAAGUUAUGUCGGUUCUCUCUCAAUUUUUCACCUCCGUCGUGAAUCUGGAAAAACCCAUGAACCCAAAGCUUUCCCUGAAAACCC
rnacentral:lncRNA from 1 species